rnacentral:rRNA from 1 species
AUUGAACGCUGGCGGCAUGCCUAACACAUGCAAGUCGAACGAGUGGCGGACGGGUGAGUAAUGUCUGGGCAACUGCCCGAUGGAGGGGGAUAACUAAUGGAAACGGUAGCUAAUACCGCCUACCAUCGGAUGUGCCCAGAUGGGAUUAGCUAGUAGGUGGGGUAAUGGCUCACCUAGGCGACGAGCCCUAGCUGGUCUGAGAGGAUGACCAGCCACACGGGAACUGGGACACGGUCCAAACUCCUACGGGAGGCAGCAGUGGGGAAUAUUGGACAAUGGGCGAAAGCCUGAUGCAGCCAUGCCGCGUGUAUGAAGAAGGCCUUCGGAUUGUAAAGUACUUUAAGCGAGGAGGCGUUACUCGCAGAAGAAGCACCGGCUAACUCCGUGCCAGCAGCCGCGGUAAUAC